rnacentral:rRNA from 1 species
CCUGGCUCAGGAUGAACGCUAGCUACAGGCUUAACACAUGCAAGUCGAGGGGCAGCAUGGUCUUAGCUUGCUAAGGCCGAUGGCGACCGGCGCACGGGUGAGUAACACGUAUCCAACCUGCCGUCUACUCUUGGACAGCCUUCUGAAAGGAAGAUUAAUACAAGAUGGCAUCAUGAGUCCGCAUGUUCACAUGAUUAAAGGUAUUCCGGUAGACGAUGGGGAUGCGUUCCAUUACAUAGUAGGCGGGGUAACGGCCCACCUAGUCUUCGAUGGAUAGGGGUUCUGAGAGGAAGGUCCCCCACAUUGGAACUGAGACACGGUCCAAACUCCUACGGGAGGCAGCAGUGAGGAAUAUUGGUCAAUGGGCGAGAGCCUGAACCAGCCAAGUAGCGUGAAGGAUGACUGCCCUAUGGGCUGUAAACUUCUUUUAUAAAGGAAUAAAGUCGGGUAUGGAUACCCGUUUGCAUGUACUUUAUGAAUAAGGAUCGGCUAACUCCGUGCCAGCAGCCGCGGUAAUACGGAGGAUCCGAGCGUUAUCCGGAUUUAUUGGGUUUAAAGGGAGCGUAGAUGGAUGUUUAAGUCAGUUGUGAAAGUUUGCGGCUCAACCGUAAAAUUGCAGUUGAUACUGGAUAUCUUGAGUGCAGUUGAGGCAGGCGGAAUUCGUGGUGUAGCGGUGAAAUGCUUAGAUAUCACGAAGAACUCCGAUUGCGAAGGCAGCCUGCUAAGCUGCAACUGACAUUGAGGCUCGAAAGUGUGGGUAUCAAACAGGAUUAGAUACCCUGGUAGUCCACACGGUAAACGAUGAAUACUCGCUGUUUGCGAUAUACUGCAAGCGGCCAAGCGAAAGCGUUAAGUAUUCCACCUGGGGAGUACGCCGGCAACGGUGAAACUCAAAGGAAUUGACGGGGGCCCGCACAAGCGGAGGAACAUGUGGUUUAAUUCGAUGAUACGCGAGGAACCUUACCCGGGCUUAAAUUGCAGAUGAAUUACGGUGAAAGCCGUAAGCCGCAAGGCAUCUGUGAAGGUGCUGCAUGGUCGUCGUCAGCUCGUGCCGUGAGGUGUCGGCUUAAGUGCCAUAACGAGCGCAACCCUUGUUGUCAGUUACUAACAGGUUCCGCUGAGGACUCUGACAAGACUGCCAUCGUAAGAUGUGAGGAAGGUGGGGAUGACGUCAAAUCAGCACGGCCCUUACGUCCGGGGCUACACACGUGUUACAAUGGGGGGUACAGAGGGCCGCUACCACGCGAGUGGAUGCCAAUCCCCAAAACCUCUUUCAGUUCGGACUGGAGUCUGCAACCCGACUCCACGAAGCUGGAUUCGCUAGUAAUCGCGCAUCAGCCACGGCGCGGUGAAUACGUUCCCGGGCCUUGUACACACCGCC